AUACAGAGGGUGCGAGCGUUAAUCGGAUUUACUGGGCGUAAAGCGUGCGUAGGCGGCCAAUUAAGUCAAAUGUGAAAUCCCCGAGCUUAACUUGGGAAUUGCAUUCGAUACUGGUUGGCUAGAGUAUGGGAGAGGAUGGUAGAAUUCCAGGUGUAGCGGUGAAAUGCGUAGAGAUCUGGAGGAAUACCGAUGGCGAAGGCAGCCAUCUGGCCUAAUACUGACGCUGAGGUACGAAAGCAUGGGGAGCAAACAGGAUUAGAUACCCUGGUAGUCCAUGCCGUAAACGAUGUCUACUAGCCGUUGGGGCCCUUGAGGCUUUAGUGGCGCAGCUAACGCGAUAAGUAGACCGCCUGGGGAGUACGGUCGCAAGACUAAA
rnacentral:rRNA from 2 species